UACGGGGGGGGUAAGCGUUUUUCGGAAUUACUGGGCGUAAAGGGCUCGUAGGCGGCCAACUAAGUCGGACGUGAAAUCCCUCAGCUUAACUGGGGAACUGCGUCUGAUACUGGCGAGCUUGAGUGCAGGAGAGGAACGCGGAAUUCCAGGUGUAGCGGUGAAAUGCGUAGAUAUCUGGAGGAACACCGGUGGCGAAGGCGGCGUUCUGGACUGCAACUGACACUGAAAAACGAAAGCCAGGGGAGCAAACGGG
rnacentral:rRNA from 1 species